AUUGAACGCUGGCGGCAGGCCUAACACAUGCAAGUCGAGCGGAUGAAGGGAGCUUGCUCCUGGAUUCAGCGGCGGACGGGUGAGUAAUGCCUAGGAAUCUGCCUGUUAGUGGGGGAUAACGUCCGGAAACGGGCGCUAAUACCGCAUACGUCCUUAGGGAGAAAGUGGGGGAUCUUCGGACCUCACGCUAUCAGAUGAGCCUAGGUCGGAUUAGCUAGUUGGUGGGGUAAAGGCCUACCAAGGCGACGAUCCGUAGCUGGUCUGAGAGGAUGAUCAGCCACACUGGAACUGAGACACGGUCCAGACUCCUACGGGAGGCAGCAGUGGGGAAUAUUGGACAAUGGGCGCAAGCCUGAUCCAGCCAUACCGCGUGUGUGAAGAAGGCCUUCGGGUUGUAAAGCACUUUUGUUGGGAAAGAAAAGCAGCAGGUUAAUACCCCGCUGUUCUGACGUUACCAAAAGAAUAAGCACCGGCUAACUUCGUG
rnacentral:rRNA from 1 species